GACGUAGGGCGCGAGCGUUGUCCGGAUUCAUUGGGCGGAAAGAGCGCGCAGGCGGCUUGGUAAGUCGGAUGUGAAAUCCCGAGGCUCAACCUCGGGUCUGCAUCCGAUACUGCCCGGCUAGAGGUAGGUAGGGGAGAUCGGAAUUCCUGGUGUAGCGGUGAAAUGCGCAGAUAUCAGGAGGAACACCGGUGGCGAAGGCGGAUCUCUGGGCCUUACCUGACGCUCAGGCGCGAAAGCUAGGGGAGCGAACUGG
rnacentral:rRNA from 1 species